rnacentral:rRNA from 1 species
UUCGGACUUGGCUAGGGAGGUCGGCAACGACCACCCAGGGCCGGAAAGUUGG